rnacentral:rRNA from 1 species
UACGUAGGCAGCAAGCGUUGUUCGGAAUUACUGGGCGUAAAGAGUGUGUAGGCGGUGCUCUAAGUUCGGUGUGAAAUCUCCCGGCUUAACUGGGAGGGUGCGCCGGAAACUGGAGUGCUCGAGCGUGGGAGAGGAAAGCGGAAUUCCGGGUGGAGCGGUGAAAUGCGUAGAAGAUCCGGAGGAACACCGACGGCGUAGGCAGCGCCCGUGGCUGUGAAUAAAGCUGACACUGAGGCACGAAAGCUGGGGGAGCAAACAGG